rnacentral:lncRNA from 7 species
ACUUUUGAGGUAUGAACAUUUAGAAGCCGAAGACCAUGGCGGCAUAGGUACACAGUGCCAACGUUGCCUCCGUCGAUGCGGCGCAGCAGCCUAGUGUCACGCGGUCUCAACGGCGCCGCGGCCGGCGCCGACGCCACGUGGAUGGUCACCCACGCCAUCGACGAGGUCAGAGCAGCAGUAGCCGCCAUGGGUAGCGCGCAGAUGUGGAGCAGUCGAAUGAGAAAGACGGGCUGGAGCACCACAGCAGGUUGGUGUUGCUGCUGGCCAGCAGCCGCUCC